CCGGCUCUGAAGGCGGGGCAGGUCGCUUUAAGACAGGCGGCCUUCAACUCCCACAAUUGACUGGCAAAGGGUGAAACACCAGGCCCAAAACCUGGAGGUUGUGAGUUCUAGUCCCGCCUGAGGCACGAAAGGCAGGCUUAAUCAAGGUGAUCUGCGCUGUGUGCUGCAUAUAAUAUAAUAUCCAGCUGAUAUUUUAUCAGAGACCUUCAUUUCCAGCCAGAUAAAGUGGAAAACAAACCUUGCUUAAAAGUGGAGAAGGGCGUGGCCUCUUCAUUUUCACGGCCAUGCUGUGUCUUCAGAGAAUGGACGUUUAAUCAAGGUCAGAGGCAUGCAAGACUACAGCAACAGGGUCAGAUCUUUGGUUCAACCCAGCACUGUCAUCUCUUUCAACUCUGACACAUGCAUGUCAAAGCAGAUACUGUCCAAGCUGAUCAGUCCCCCACCCCACCCCAAUGAUGAACCAUAGCAAUAGCUACCCCAGCAGAUUCAGGAACCAUCGUUUGAGAUAAAGCCAUGAUCUGACAGCUGAAAUGAAGGUGUUGCUGUCCACUUCUGGAAGAUACUACCAAUAGGAUGACCGCUAAGCAAAGGAGAACCAAAACCAGACACAAAGAAUCCUGCCCUUUGAAAAAAAUUUUUUUAUAAAUUAUGCAAGGGCAGGUCCUCUCUUGAAUCGGUUACCAGUAAAGAUCUGGAAGACAAGCCACUGAAAUUGUUUUAAAUAACCACAGAGGUGUUCUAAAGGGAGCUCAACCAAACUCACUGUACAUAUGUUGUGCACUGACAAUAAAGAUUUGAAUUUAAAUGGA